rnacentral:rRNA from 1 species
UACAGAGGGGGCAAGCGUUGUCCGGAAUUACUGGGCGUACAGCGCGCGCAGGCGGUUGCCGACGUGCCGUGUGACAAACGGGGGCUCAACCCCCGAGGGCCACGGUAAACGGGGCGACUGGAGGAAGGGAGAGGGAUGUGGAAUUCCUGGUGUAGCGGUGAAAUGCGCAGAUAUCAGGAAGAACACCCGUGGCGAAGGCGGCUCUCUGGGACGGUACUGACGCUGAGACGCGAAAGCGUGGGGAGCGAACAGG